AAACUUUUGAUUCGUGAUUUUGAUCAAUUUCUAUGAAAUUGGGUUCGUGAAAAAUGAAAAUUGAUUCGUGAUUCACGAAUCACGAACCGUUAUUUCGAACCCUGAUUUGUGCCAGCGGCGACGCAAAUUUUUUUUCCGUAGACAGUCGGACUCCUCAUUGAUAGUCGGACGCAUCAUUGAUCCGCGUCCAGGCCUCCGCGCGUUAUCGAUCGAUCCCUUCGUACCCUGCAUGACCCACUGGUAUACCAUAUGUCCAUCAUUCCGCGUUGUUCCAGU